AGUGAACGCUGGCGGUAGGCCUAACACAUGCAAGUCGAACGGCAGCACAGUAAGAGCUUGCUCUUACGGGUGGCGAGUGGCGGACGGGUGAGGAAUAAAUCGGAAUCUACUUUUUCGUGGGGGAUAACGUAGGGAAACUUACGCUAAUACCGCAUACGACCUACGGGUGAAAGCAGGGGAUCUUCGGACCUUGCGCGAUUGAAUGAGCCGAUGUCGGAUUAGCUAGUUGGCGGGGUAAAGGCCCACCAAGGCGACGAUCCGUAGCUGGUCUGAGAGGAUGAUCAGCCGCACUGGAACUGAGACACCGUCCAGACUCCUACGGGAGGCAGCAGUGGGGAAUAUUGGACAAUGGGCGCAAGCCUGAUCCAGCCAUACCGCGUGGGUGAAGAAGGCCUUCGGGUUGUAAAGCCCUUUUGUUGGGAAAGAAAAGCAGCAGGUUAAUACCCCGCUGUUCUGACGGUACCCAAAGAAUAAGCACCGGCUAACUUCGUG
rnacentral:rRNA from 1 species